rnacentral:rRNA from 1 species
UACGUAGGGGGCGAGCGUUGUCCGAAGUUACUGGGCGUAAAGCGCGCGUAGGCGGUUGCUUAAGUUAGAUGUGAAAUCCUGGGGCUCAACCCCAGAACUGCAUCUAAAACUGGGCGACUUGAGGACGGAAGAGGGUAGUGGAAUUCCUGGUGUAGCGGUGAAAUGCGUAGAUAUCAGGAGGAACACCCCGUGGCGAAGGCGGCUACCUGGUCCGUAUCUGACGCUGGAGGCGCGAAAGCCUAGGGGAGC